UACGUAGGUGGCAAGCGUUGUCCGGAUUUAUUGGGUUUAAAGGGUGCGUAGGCGGUUCUAUAAGUCAGUGGUGAAAUCCGGCAGCUCAACUGUCGAUGUGCCAUUGAUACUGCAGAACUUGAGUACAGACGAGGUAGGCGGAAUUGACGGUGUAGCGGUGAAAUGCUUAGAUAUCGUCAAGAACACCGAUAGCGAAGGCAGCUUACUAGACUGUAACUGACGCUGAUGCACGAAAGUGUGGGGAUCAGACAGG
rnacentral:rRNA from 1 species